rnacentral:lncRNA from 1 species
AACGCGAACUUGCAGGUGCCCCUCCAGUCGCACGCAAGCAGUUCACGCCCCAUGGCGGCGCAGGCGGCUUAGGGCGCCCUCCGGCAGCGCGCGAGCAGGGCGUGGCCCCUCCAAUGAUGCGUGCAGCUCAGGGGCCGAGCCCCUUCGGUAGCGUGCGGGCAGGACGCGUCCCCUCCGACGGCGGUUGGUCCCAGCCCUAGCAUCGCCCCCAUCGCCGCACCAGCCAUGGCGCUGGCCUCUUGCCUCGUCUUGCGCUCCCAUCAGGUUCUUUUGCUUGCCCCUUGGCUUCUCUCUGCAUCGCGCUUUGGGAACCCUAGUCUCUUGCUGAUCUGAUCCGGUGACGUCUGUCUUGAAAAUUUCAUGAUUAGAAAAGGAGAUUCCAUAGUUCGUUAGCUAGAUUGGGAAUUGGAGGGGCAGACAGUGGAGACGACACGCUCUUUUUUUACAGAUUCUUUCGAUCUGAAUGUGAAUUCCUGUUUAGAUAUUUUCUCAUAUGGAACGCCAUGGUGUCAAUGCAGGCCAUGUUUCAUUGAGCUCUGUAUUAGUCUGAGGCAUGUUGGAAUUGGCACAAAGACAAUGAUUGCACAUCUGAGGCAUGUUGGAAUUGGCACAAAGACAAUGAUUGCACAGGGUAUCAUAUACAUAUUUUAUUUAUUAGUUAUGUAUAUACAUACAAAACUGACUCAGUACCUUGUUCUUUGAUAAUAUUCAGUACCUUGUUUUACCACCUUUAUGUUUCAAGAGUGGAAAUAUUGAACAGUUGGAUGUAUGUAUUUGGUCAUUUCACUGCAUUUUUAGUUUAUAUUGUCUGAACAAUCUGAUAGGGAAUUUGUAGUAGAAUCAAUGUAGCAUUCUUUUUUCUUCAGAUGCACUACAUUUUACUUCUGUUGUUUCUUUUGUGUGGACAGAAUGUACCAUUGUUAAUCAUCAAAUUUUGACAUCUCAAUAAGACAUCGUGCAUAUAUUUGUUGUGCAACUGUGCAACCUUUUUAAAUUAGCUAGAAUUCCUAAUCCCAUAUUGAUAUUACUGUAAACCAAUACUCAAAUUCUCGACUAUAACAAGAUCUGGGACCAUUGCACAUGGAUUUAUAACAUGUAAAGAACAAAGAAACUUUGUAUGUGCAAAAAAAAAGAAUGCUUUGGUAAAGGUAUCAACUUUGAGCCUGAGUAUUUCUAGUUUAUCUGUCUAAUUCCAAAAGCAUAACCCAUGUAUUGGAAUAAUUAUUUUUUCUGUUUACAAUCAUGCCUCUGUCCUCAUCGCUCAUUAUUUAGUUAAAUAAUCCAUGUUUUCAAUUGUUGUUGUUUUAGCACGGUGACGUUACCAUUUUCAAUAGGCACAGGCAAUAUACUAGCUAGUUGAGUACUAAAGUCUUAACUCUAAAAACCUCCCCUGAUAUAUGGCUACGACCUACAGGUGAUAGCCCAUGUGCUAAUGAUAGUCCACUGCCUUCUUGGUAGUUGUAACAACUCCUCUCAGAUUUCAUUCUUAGUCAGUUCGAGAGUAGCAGCAGCAGUAUGGGAGGUACUUGAUGAACAAUUUACAACUUACGUGAUGUAUUGUAUGUAAUGUGUUCCUAGUUUUACUAAAUAAGUUUUAACGACAAAACUGUAUGAAUCAGCAAGCUAUAAUAAAGCUCUCUAACUCAGCCAACAUUUUAGAACACUUGGACUGUGUUAGUUUAAUUCAGCAGUGAACUUAGAUAGAUAUUUUUCUAUAAGUGAAAAUAUAUAAUAUUUAUUGCUAUCUGAUGAGGGGUAACGAUGCUUCUACUUUAAUGAGCCAUGCUGAUUUGAACUCAUGUAGUCACGUGCAGCCGCUGCUGGUGCUGUGCGAUGUGUUGGUCGCCGUAGGAUGAAGACGAGCAUGUUCUAGCUGCUGGUGCUGCAUAGGGAGGGGCUCAUCGGCUGCCGACUCUACAAGACACUGGUGCUGAACUGCUAACUCACGGCUUCUACUUUCCUGUGCAUAGUAAGGUCUAUUAUGUGUGUUAACUGUAUAACUUAUUUUUUUAUAGAGAUGCUCAUGUUAAAAGUAGCUAAAGCUACAACAGUGAACUUAAUAAUUGUGAGCUCUGUCUCAGAAAAUAUAUUCUUCUCAUGUUUACCUCUUAGUAAAUAAAUUUGAACUGAUUUGACUCAGUAUAGAUAAAGAUCUUUGGUUUGAUCUAUGUGAUUAUAUAGUUGCAACUGUAGUAGUUACAAGUUUUAGAUAUUUAUUUGAUCAACACAGUGUAGGCAUUAAGUAAACUGCUGUAUUUUUAAUAAAAAAAUAAUGUUAUCUCAUUUUGAUAUAAUCAGAGAACACACACAUGCUCUUGCUUAAUCCAGUUACAUCUAUUUUAGUACUCAAUACUCGUUCACAAAGAAGCAGGUGUUGUGUAUUAGUAUGUUCCCCUAACAAAUCCAACUACACACCCCUGUUCAAAGCAGCAACGGUAACUUCUACAGCAAGUGGAAGCACUAUAGCAGGAAGCAACACAUCAAAGUCAAGCACCAGCUUAGGCAAAGGCAGGGGCUAGCUGGACCAUUAUUCUCUGAAGUUUGAACUCUAAACCAAACAUGACUUAUG